rnacentral:rRNA from 1 species
AUUGAACGCUGGCGGCAUGCCUUACACAUGCAAGUCGAACGGUAACAGGUCUUCGGAUGCUGACGAGUGGCGAACGGGUGAGUAAUACAUCGGAACGUGCCUAGUAGUGGGGGAUAACUACUCGAAAGAGUGGCUAAUACCGCAUGAGAUCUACGGAUGAAAGCAGGGGAUCGCAAGACCUUGUGCUACUAGAGCGGCAGAUGGCAGAUUAGGUAGUUGGUGGGAUAAAAGCUUACCAAGCCGACGAUCUGUAGCUGGUCUGAGAGGACGAUCAGCCACACUGGGACUGAGAAACGGCCCAGACUCCUACGGGAGGCAGCAGUGGGGAAUUUUGGACAAUGGGCGCAGGCCUGAUCCAGCAAUGCCGCGUGCAGGAUGAAGGCCUUCGGGUUGUAAACUGCUUUUGUACGGAACGAAAAGCCCCGGGUUAAUACCCUGGGGUCAUGACGGUACCGUAAGAAUAAGCACCGGCUAACUACGUGCCAGCCGCCGCCGUAA